rnacentral:rRNA from 1 species
CCGAAAGGGUGACGAAGCGACGCCGCGUGGGUGAGGAAGGCCCUCGGGUUGUAAGCCCUGUCAGGAGUUAAGAAAUAUAAGUGCGCUAAUAUCGCAUUUAUUUGACGAAGGCUCCAAAGGAAGCCACGGCUAACUCUGUGCCAGCAGCCGCGGUAAUACAGAGGUGGCAAGCGUUGUUCGGAAUUAUUGGGCGUAAAGAGCACGUAGGUGGGCUUGAAAGUCAGAUGUGAAAGCCUUCUGUUCAACGGAAGAAUUGCAUCUGAAACUGCGAGUCUUGAGUGUAGGAGGGGAGAAUGGAACUUCUGGUGGAGCGGUGAAAUGCGUAGAUAUCAGAAGGAACGCCGGCGGCGAAAGCGAUUCUCUGGCCUAUUACUGACACUCAGUGUGCGAA